UUGUUAUCGUCGUCGUCUCUACAACCACCAGGAUGUGGUGGAGAUGGAGACCUUGAUCAUGGAGCAGGUUGUGGUGGAGAUGAUGGUCUGGAUGUUUGAGGAGAUGGUCGCUGCUAUGGAUUUGUGGAGAGUGGUCUUGAGCUCUGAGGAGGUGCCUCCACGCUGGGGAUGAUGAUGUAGUGUUUGCGCCAUGGAAUGACCCCGUGAACCACUUCUCCUAGUCUUGUUGACCCGUCAUCUGUUGGGAAGUCGAGCUCUAGACCUUCAAAUUGGCUAUCAGGGAUUCUCUCUACGCCAGCACUGGCAUAGCCAGGUGGAAGCUCCAUGCCAUGGCAUGCAUGAUUUGGCAGGAUUGGCAAUGCACUCCCGUACGCAACCUGGAUAUAUAAAAGAAAUGAAGUUCUUAAACUUCAAAUUGCCAAAGCACUCCCGAGGC
rnacentral:lncRNA from 1 species